rnacentral:rRNA from 1 species
GGCUACCGCUAUUGGAGUUCGAUUAAGCCAUGCGAGUCGCGAGUCUUAGGGACUCGGCGUACCGCUCAGUAACACGUGGGUAACCUGCCCUAUGCUGGGGGAUAACCUCGGGAAACUGAGAAUAAUACCCCAUAGUUCACCACGCCUGGAACGGUGGGUGGAUCAAAGCUCCGGCGGCAUAGGAUGGGCCUGCGGCGUAUCAGGUUGUAGGGGGUGUAAUGUACCCUCUAGCCCUCUACGCGUACGGGUGUUGAGAGACAUCGCCCGGAGAUGGAUUCUGAGACACGAAUCCAGACCCCACGGGGUGCAGCAGGCGCGAAAACUUGGCAAUGCGAGCAAUCGUGACCAGGGAACUCCAAGUGCAUCGGGUAAGACCGAUGCUUUUCUUGACUCUUCAAAGGUCUUGGAAUAAGGGGUGGGUAAGGACGGUGCCAGCCGCCGCGGUAAUACCGGCGCCUCAAGUGGUAGUCGCUUUUAUUGGGCCUAAAACGUCCGUAGCCGGUUUGGUACAUUCGUGGGUAAAUCAAGGCGCUCAACGUCUUGAAUUCUGCGAGCACGGCCAGACUUGGGACCGGGUGAGGUGUGGGGUACUCUCAGGGUAGGGGUAAAAUCCUGUCAUCCUGAGAGGACCACCUGUUGCGAAGGCGCCACACUAGAACGGAUCCGACGGUCAGGGACGAAGCCUAGGGGCACGAACCGGAUUAGAUACCCGGGUAGUCCUAGGUGUAAACGCUGUGGACUUGAUGUUGGGAGUGCUCCGAGCACCCUCAGUGUCGAAGCGAAGGUGAUAAGUCCACUGCCUGGGGAGUACGGUCGCAAGGCUGAAACUUAAAGGAAUUGGCGGGGGAGCACUGCAACCUGAGGAUUGUGCGGUUU